UAUUAAUAUUGAAUUGUAGUAUUUUUAUUCAACUUUUAUUUAUUAUUUAUUUUUUUAUUGUACUUUUUUCCUCUUAGACCCUUGUUUUCGGACUGGGCUUUGUUUUAAUAGGACUUUCCUUCAUUUUUCUGCCCAGGCCAUUGCUCUAGCUCAGCCCCUUUUAUUCCCUUCCCUACACGGUGUCGUUUGGUCCAUGCCUUAGGGCUUAAUUCCUCUCCUCUUCAACGCCUUCUACCUUCUUCUUCCUCUUAUUUCAUUUCUUCUUCCCCUGCAGCCGAUAGCUUCUUCUUCCCCUUCUUUCCAUUUUCGUUUUCCUUCUUUCUUCCUUCAAAACCAGAGUGUGCUGCAGCUGCCUUUCUCCAUUUUCGUUAGAUGAAAAGAAGGCUGAGCCUGAGGUGUCGGUUCUGUUGGAGGACUGAUUGGAGGAAAUGGAGGCUGCCGGUAAAUUGAAAUGAAAAGGACGCAUUCUCUGUUUUUCUCAGGAAAAAAACGAAGUUGUUUGGGACACUUCUUGUUGCAUUGGAGUAAUUCUGGCACCAUGGGAGUCAAGCUUGUCAGGGACUUUUUUCAAUAUAUACCACAGGAAAAAUCUACAUCCAAAUAUCAGAAGUAAAGGAAAGUUUUACCCAACUGAGAAAGAGGAAGUGCAGCAAUUUGAGAUAUGUUCCUUGGUUUUUCGUGCCUUCAAUGUACAACAAUCCACCGAUGACAAGCUCCACGAAGUUGGCUUAGUCUGGUACGAAGAUAGUAGAAGCUCAACCUUCAGCUCCGAGAGGAAUACUUAUAUUUGAAUGCCUGAGCUAUGGAAGACAGUGGAAGCUCAAUUUGGUAAGACGGCGAAGAGAAGCUUAGUAUGGUACGACGGCGAUGAGAAGCUUACUCAAGCUCCAACCAUGAAGAUGAAGGGACCUCUGCGUUUCUCUUCCUCUUUUCUAUUUAUAUUUUUGUCCUUAUUUAUUUAUUUUUUUGUUUUUUUAAAAAUAAAUCAAUUGACGUGGCAUAAUGGCAUAUCGGCCUAUUCCCCCAUGGUUAAGCACGGUGAUUGUGUAGAAUAACCUUUUUUUUUUUUUUUUUCUUUUUAGAUGUUAGGAAGUAGGGCUGUAGAACCGGAUACCCGGAUUUGUAUUCAGGUUUUAAAAAUUGGGCGGUUAUCCGUUUGGAUAAACCUGAAAAUAAUUUUGAUGGUAACCGGAUGUAAAUCCGGAUAUUUGGAUUA